CUCGACCUCUCCCCGCGCUGCUACCGCCGCUUCCCGCCGCCAGCCGGCGUGAGCGCCGGUUCUCCCCGGUCGACCGCACCCGGUUGCCACCGGCGCUCCCGCCGCCGGAGACCCGUGCCGGUCGGGCUAGAGCCAAGCUCCUCAUCAACCCGUGCGGCUAAGGCAUCAUUGCCCGCCGCCGCCGCCGCCUCCCGUCGCCGGCCGACGCGCACCCCAGCCUCCCUCCGUCGCCCGCACCUACCUACCGCCUGCGCACCCGCUGCACGGCAGCCGCCGGCCGUGCCAUG
rnacentral:lncRNA from 1 species